UGGGGAAUAUUGCACAAUGGGCGCAAGCCUGAUGCAGCCAUGCCGCGUGUAUGAAGAAGGCCUUCGGGUUGUAAAGUACUUUCAGCGGGAAGGAAGGGAGUAAAGUUAAUACCUUUGCUCAUUGACGUUACCCGCAGAAGAAGCACCGGCUAACUCCGUGCCAGCAGCCGCGGUAAUACGGAGGGUGCAAGCGUUAAUCGGAAUUACUGGGCGUAAAGCGCACGCAGGCGGUUUGUUAAGUCAGAUGUGAAAUCCCCGGGCUCAACCUGGGAACUGCAUCUGAUACUGGCAAGCUUGAGUAUCGUAGAGGGGGGUAGAAUUCCAGGUGUAGCGGUGAAAUGCGUAGAGAUCUGGAGGAAUACCGGUGGCGAAGGCGGCCCCCUGGACGAAGACUGACGCUCAGGUGCGAAAGCGUGGGGAGCAAACAGG
rnacentral:rRNA from 1 species